rnacentral:rRNA from 1 species
UACAGAGGGUGCAAGCGUUGUUCGGAAUUAUUGGGCGUAAAGCGCGUGUAGGCGGCUUUGCAAGUCGGGUGUGAAAGCCCUCAGCUCAACUGAGGAAGUGCGCCCGAAACUGCAGAGCUUGAGUGCCGGAGAGGGUGGCGGAAUUCCCCAAGUAGAGGUGAAAUUCGUAGAUAUGGGGAGGAACACCCGUGGCGAAGGCGGUUCUCUGGGACGGUACUGACGCUGAGACGCGAAAGCGUGGGGAGCGAACAGG